rnacentral:rRNA from 1 species
UACGUAUGGUGCAAGCGUUAUCCGGAUUUACUGGGUGUAAAGGGGGCGCAGACGGCAAUGCAAGCCAGGAGUGAAAGCCCGGGGCCCAACCCCGGGACUGCUCUUGGAACUGCAUGGCUGGAGUACAGGAGGGGCAGGCGGAAUUCCUAGUGUAGCGGUGAAAUGCGUAGAUAUUAGGAGGAACACCGGUGGCGAAGGCGGCCUGCUGGACUGUGACUGACGUUGAGGCCCGAAGGCGUGGGGAGCAAACAGG